ACGUUAGAACAGGAACUGAUUGCAAAGUCCUUGAUAUGAAGUGCAAACCAGCAAACAACAUUUCGACAUUUCCUGUACUGCGACACUCAUCUGACAUUUCAUACGGAUCUUUUCAAUUAAUCGGUUCACAAAAACAACCUAAACGAUUCUUCCAAGCAUCUGUCUGAACGGUUAACUCAAACGAGCUUAAAGAGGGGAUUUAAUGUAAAAGAAAAGUUGCUUUAAAAUCAGAAAUGGCACAAAAUAAACAUACUGGAAUUAGUUUAACGCUACAGUAACACUAGGUGGCGGUAGUGCACUUUUAAUUUUGAGAAUCGCCGUUAAAUAAACACAACAAAGAAGAAGAAGCGAAAGGUUCUUCAUCGAGGGAAAACAGAUACUGCAGGGCCCGAUGGACGUGAAAGAGGAAAGUGAAGAACUGGGGUUAAUGGAAGUCAAAGAGGAAAGAGAAGAACUGCAUGUGGAUGAGAAGGAGCCUGAGUAUCAAGAACCUUUUAGUUGCACCGAAACGGAAAACAAUUUAUCAGUAAAAAGAAGUAAAAAAACAAGAGCCAAGAGAUCUGUAACCUGCCCUCAGUGUGGAAGGAGCUUUGCACAAAAAGGACACCUGAACACUCACAUGAGAGUCCACACUGGAGAGAGACCUUUUACCUGCAUGUACUGUGGAAAGAGUUUCAAGCAAAAGGACUACCUUAAAGAUCACAUACUAAUUCACACAGUAGGAAAGGCAGCCACAUGUCUUCAGUGUGGGAAAAAAAUUAGUAAUAAGAAAAAUUUGAAAAAACAUAAUCUCUUACACUCUGGAGUAAGACCAUACAGCUGUGAUCAGUGUGAUAAAACAUUUAUUUUGGCUUUUCAACUGAGAAGACAUCAGGCAGUUCAUCUAAAGGAGAAGCCGUUCUCUUGUACUUUAUGUGGAAAGAGUUUUUCACGGUUGGAUUGUUUGAAAGUGCACCAGACAUUACAUACUGGUGCGAAAGAUCAUGUUUGCUCUGUGUGUGGGGAUUGCUUUCCUAAAGCCUAUUAUUUGCGACAGCACCAAAAAAUCCAUACUGGAGAAAAACCUUACAAGUGUUCAUACUGUGGAAAGGGUUUCACUCACAGUGGAUCGGUGACGGCACAUGAGAGAGUUCAUACUGGAGAGAAGCCGUACCACUGCUCAUUGUGUGGAAAGAGCUUCAGCCAAUUAGGUGGUCAACAGACCCAUAUGAAAAAACAUUGCCCAGCACUGAAAACAUGUAUUGGAUUGGUUACUGAAAAAUAAAUAUUUUUUUCAAAAAAUGAAGCAAUGUUACUUGGUUACAUUCAGGAUGAAAACACUUUGCCUGUUUUUUUUUUACUCUGACAUUUUUUCCCCCCAAUAUGAACUAUAUAAAGUAACUUACCAUAGGCUUAUAUAGAAAUGAAAUUGAAAUAAAAUUUUCAAAUGCUGUUGUGAUUUAAUGGAAUGUUUUAGAGCAUAUAAAGACUACUGUAUCAUAGCUGAUACACAAAUUUCUAUUCUAAGACCUCUAAAUUAUUUACAUGAUCAAAACUUUGUUUAAUACCCUGUUAUACACAAUAUAUAAUGCUCUCUGUUGUCUGAUUUAUAGUUGUUAAUGCUCUUUUAGCAAAUAAAAAUGUCCACUUUCAGGUCAUGGUACACGUCUUUUUGCUGUGAAAUCUUUAAUGAUUUUUAUGAAGUAAAAACAUGUUUUAAAAUCAUUAAAAUGCGAAACACAUCAGGCUGAAUGUUUAUUUGUAGAUCUCUCAAAUCUGAAUAAAAUUUGGGUGUUUUUUGCUCCUUAA